CUACACUCUAUUGCCCUACACCACUAUCCUGCCCCUGAGAAGGAGAGUAGAGGACACAAGAGAGAGAGGAAGAUGGCAAGGAGGAUGAGGAGGUCACAUAUCUUUGUGCUCCAUCUGACAGAUAGAGAAUUUUUUUUUUUUCAUGAAAGAAAUGCAAAGUAAUGUACAGUGGGGAGAACUAGUAUUUGAUAACCUGCCGAAUCGGCCGUGUUUCCUAUUUACGAAGCAUGUAGAGGUCUGUCAUUUUUAUCACAGGUACACCUCAACUGUAUAUAUAAUCAUAUAAAUAAAAUGCAAAUUAAUUACUUUUUUAAAAAAACAUACAAUGUGAUUUUCUGGAUUUUUGUUUUAGAUUCAGUCUCUCACAGUUGAAGUGUACCUACGAUAAAAAUUACAGACCUCUACAUGCUUUGUAAGUAGGAAAACCUGCAAAAUCGGCAGUGUAUCAAAUACUUGUUCUCCCCACUGUGUAUGUAUGUAUGUAUGUAUGUAUGUAUGUAUGUAUGUAUGUAUGUAUGUAUGUAUGUAUGUAUGUAUGUAUGUAUGUAUGUAUGUAUGUAUGUAUGUAUGUAUGUAUGUAUGUAUGUAUGUAUGUAUGUAUGUAUGUAUGUAUGUAUGUAUGUGAUAAGGUACUGUAGAACUAAGGAAUGAAGACGCCGAAGUUCUGCGCAUUACCUUGGAAAAAAUGGAGGACAAGGCAGAGCCGAGUCUCUUUGCGGAGGUCAUUUUUCUAAAAUGGUGUACAGAACGUCGGCGUCUAUCCCGCUUAUACCACAGUUACCAAAGAGAACAAUACUAAAGCACACAUUUAUCGUUAGGAAAAAAAACUUUUUUUUGUCAAUUAUUUUUUUAUAAGAGAAUUCAUGCUUUCUCAUCUUUUGGUUGCUAGAGACGUGACCCAGUCGGUCGUUCAAUACUGUCCUUCUCAUCUCUUACUUGUUAACUAGCCAACUAGCUACGGCUAACACAGUCACCACGUCGGCAGCCAGAAUAACAGCAAAGUAGAUGGAUUUUUGCAUUUUUGUUUAAGCUGUUUUCUAGUGACAUUCAUUUGGAUAAUGAGCUGAUGACCCAACCCCCCCCAAAAACAAAAUCCUGGCAUAGUGCCUUCUCAUCAUGCCGAGGAGAUCACAUUGCAUAUCAAACACUAACGCUAGGCUAGACGCUAAAUAGCUAAAUAGUUUGUUGCUAGCAAACCUGCUAAUAUGACAACCUAAUUCAAACAUAUCAAUUGCUGAAAACAGCUGGACAAACUCGAAAUGUCACGUGGCAGGAUUUGAAAGCAUAGCGCCCAUUUGCGUCACGACUACCGACAGUAGGGGACCGGAGAAAUCCAUGUUCAUCACACACCGCGUUGGGUCAUCAGAUACUCCAAAAGAAAAUGUUGAAAGCAUCGAACAAAAAAGCUAAAACAAUUGCUACCGACAUAUACCUGCGUUUGGGUGGUUGUUGGUUUAGCUUUCUGUAGCUUUGUAGUGUGGGCUGCAUGUGUGUCGGUGCUUAAUUGCGUUAAUGAUUACAAAGUGAGCCCCGUUAUCUUUUCCAACUGUCCCAUUUAUAUCUGGGUUUUAAUGUCCAGUCUAGAUUGUCCUUCUAGCUAAUCAGAAACGAGUAUUCAACAAUGCUGUGGUAUAAUUUAAAGUAAUGCUUUACUUUUAUUUAAACUGAUCCCCAACACCGCUAAACACACAGCAACAACUUGUCUGUUCGUCUCUUAGAAGGGUUUUAAUAUCUGUUUCCACCUUGUCUGUCUGGGUUGGAGUUUAGAGAAAAUGUUUUUGUUUUUUUUUAGACUUGUUUCUGACUCAGAAAGCAGGAAGUAGAUCCUUCAAAGCAGGAAGUUAAAUGUGAAAUUAUUGCUUUUGAAUGAAAAUUCCACUAUAUUUUGGACAAUCAUGGCAGGCAGCUGAGGCAGAGCUGUGUCCUUUGUUCUUCUGUGUUAUUGUAUGUAGUUGUUGUUAUUUGUAAAUUCAGGUUCCCUUUUUAUCUAAUAUUAGGUUGUGGUUAGAAGAUCUGAUUAACAUUCGGGUAUCAAAAAUAGAGAAAAUCGGAAACUACUUUUUCACGGCAUGGUAUUCCAAACUUUACACUUACACCGCUCGAACAUCGAGAAGAUUCAAAUACUGCUCCCCCCCCCACCCCCUUGAAACGUGACUUUUUUUCGUUCUCAUGCUAAGCUAGCAGUAGCCACCGUAUCUUCUGGCAUAUUACACCUACUUAUACUUCUAUUGUGGACACAAUAUAGUGUGGACAGUAGAAUGAUUUCCAUUCAUUUCUCUGAGAACAAUAUCUUCAUUUAACUCCAUGUCAUCAGGCGGAUGCUGUCCCUCUUCCUCUACUUUCUCCUCCUCUUCCUCACUUCUUCCACUCCUCUCCUCUGGCUCUCUGUGUGUUUUCUCUCCAAUACUACUACUACUACUACUACUACUACCACCACUGCUACAACCUCAACGCGCACACGUGUGUGUGUGUGUGUGUGUGUGUACUCCAAAUGCCUCCCUCUCUGAACCUGGUACUACCACAAAUCUAUUUUUAACUGCUUGUGUUUUAGUUUUCAGAUUUUCUGUGAGGAAGUCAUGUUAAAUGUAUGUAUGUAUGUAUGUAUGUAUGUAUGUGUGUGUGUGUGUGUGUGUGUGUGUGUGUGUGUGUGUGUGUGUGUGGUAAUGUUAUGUAUGUAUGUAUGUAUGUGUGGUAAUGUAAUGUGUGUGUGUUAGGAUUUUAUUAAGUUGUCUAUUUUGAGUUUUGCAAACCAACCGUUUUUUAAUUUAUUUUCUUCUCUCGAUUAUUUGAGUUUUUAUUGAUGUUGUUGGAGAAGGGAGGAUAAGAUUUCAAGAUAUUCAAAGUAGUGGUCGUCUGUUGGCCUACAGAUCUGUAUGUAGUCCGACUCUGCAACUGAAUAGGAGAACACGGGCUGUGUCCCAAAAAUGGAAUCAUAUUCCCGAAGUAGUGCACUACUUUUGGCCUAUGAGUCCAAUGGGUCCUGAUCAAAAAGUAGUGCACUACAUAGGGAUUAAGGUGCUAUUUGGGAUGUGCACUUAAAAAAAUUAAAAUAAAACACUGUCAGUAGUCUUCUCUUCUUUCCAGUAACUUUCUCCAAAAUCCUCUGGUUUUCCAAAUAAUUCAGGGAUUCUAGGAAUUUCAGGGUAAAGUUACUGGAAUUUUGCAACACUUAGCCCCUCCCACUCGCACUCCGUUACUCCUUAGACUCUAGCCAAUCGUCUUUGAGCAGUGUGGUGGUUGUAUGUAAGCGUGAUGUAAUGCGAUGAUGAAUCUCUGUGUGUUUUCAGAUGUAUUUUGUUGUUCGACCUCGUUUUACCUCGUGUUUUGGGAGGCUGUGUUAUUUACUCACACCUUUUCAGUGGCAAUCUAAACAUUUUUAUCUACUUGUCAUUUUUAUUUUGUCAUAGCCUGAGUGCCGGUCUGUUUAUGCGAUCAUACCAUCUCCUUGUAAUGGAUAAGGACAUUUUAAUGGUGGCAAGAGAAAACAGGUCUGGGACCAGGCUAACUGGCAAGAACAAACAGGUCUGGGACCAGGCUAACUGGCAAUAAACAGGUCUGGGACCAGGCUAACUGGCAACAAACAGAUCUGGGACCAGGCUAACUGGCAACAAACAGAUCUGGGACCAGGCUAACUGGCAAGAGAAAACAGGUCUGGGACCAGGCUAACUGGCAACAAACAGAUCUGGGACCAGGCUAACUGGCAACAAACAGAUCUGGGACCAGGCUAACUGGCUACAAACAGAUCUGGGACCAGGCUAACUGGCUACAAACAGGUCUGGGACCAGGCUAACUGGCAACAAACAGGUCUGGGACCAGGCUAACUGGCAACAAACAGGUCUGGGACCAGGCUAACUGGCAACAAACAGGUCUGGGACCAGGCUAACUGGCAACAAACAGGUCUGGGACCAGGCUAACUGGCUACAAACAGGUCUGGGACCAGGCUAACUGACAACAAACAGGUCUGGGACCAGGCUAACUGGCUACAAACAGAUCUGGGACCAGGCUAACUGGCUACAAACAGAUCUGGGACCAGGCUAACUGGCUACAAACAGAUCUGGGACCAGGCUAACUGGCAACAAACAGGUCUGGGACCAGGCUAACUGGCUACAAACAGAUCUGGGACCAGGCUAACUGGCAACAAACAGGUCUGGGACCAGGCUAACUGGCAACAAACAGGUCUGGGACCAGGCUCAUUUUUUUUUUCGCUCCAGUCUAAGUCUGAGAGCAUCUUCCUUUGUAUUCCCUCCUUUUCAUUUAUUUAUAAGAUUCAAUUAUUAAGUGAGACUUUUUUAAAUUGGUUGUAGUUGUUCUUCAAUGUCCCGUCCACUCCAGUCUCAUUUUGAUUUGAUUGGUUGUAGUUGUUCUUCAAUGUCCCGCCCACUCCAGUCUCAUUUUGAUUUGAUUGGUUGUAGUUGUUCAAUGUCCCGUCCACUCCAGUCUCAUUUUGAUUUGAUUGGUUGUAGUUGUUCUUCAAUGCCCCGCCCACUCCAGUCUCAUUUUGAUUUGAUUGGUUGUAGUUGUUCUUCAAUGCCCCGCCCACUCCAGUCUCAUUUUGAUUUGAUUGGUUGUAUUACGACGGAGAUGUGGUUAUCCCACCUAGCUUAUCGUAACAUGAAUGCACUAACUUGUAAAUCGCUCUGGAUAAGACUAUCUGUUAUCAUGAUGACGUUGACAAAUGAAAUGCUAUUUCUGGGACUUCUUUCUCCUCUGCGAUAUUAAACAUGCAACUUGUCUGAGUGAAUGCAAUGUGUAUACAAUACUAAGUUAUACCGGAUCAAGAAAAAAACAUUAUUUUAGAAACUUAAAAAAAAAAAACGAAAAAAAUUGUGCGAAAUAUAACGAUAAAAUUAUGACACAUUUAUUUGUAUUUAUGAAAUUUUUGUUCUCUUUUUAAUAAAUGAAUGUCGUUUUUAUUUUUUUUAUUUAACUAGGCAAGUCAGUUAAGAACAAAUUGUUAUUUACAAUGACGGCCUACACCAGCCAAAACCGUAACCCGGACGACGCUGGACCAAUUGUGCACCGCCCUAUGGGACUCCCAAUCACGGCCGUUAGUUAAGGAUAAAUGAGAUGUAAAACUAGGUGUGGCCAUUUUGAAUGAAUGGUUGAGAUCUCCUGUAGGUUUAGUGGAAGCACGUAGAAGUUGGGAGUUUUAUGUUUUAGCAUGGUCAUCUACUGUGUCUGAAAGAGAGAAUGAAGGUCAUUUAUCAGAUGUGCUGUAGUAAAAAAAAUAAAUGUUUGAUGCUUA